GGGAGGGUUGGGCAGGGAGCAGGCGGAUCGCCCCAAGCCAGGGGUGCCUGGAGCCUCGUGCUUCACGCAGACUUGGAGACCCAGCCAGGCCCGCGCAGCCGCCACGGACAGCGCCCCCUCUGGCAGGGGCUGGGACUGCACGCAGAGCCGCCGGGGUGGAAUUCUAACAGAAGGAGCUGAACGAACCGAGGAGACAGACACCUACCCGCUCUGACUCCCAGCUUCCACAGUUGAGCCCCCACGUCAUCAAACCUGCCCGUGAGGGUGAGGGCGUGUGUAGACAUCCGGGUACUAGCAAGCGCUGAACAAACACAGCACUCUGACUUCAUUCGUUACGGCUCUUUUUGUCUGGGUCUUGCUAUGCAUUCCAGGCUGGCCUUGAAUUCAUGGCAUUCCUCCUGCCUCAGCCUCCCCAGCGCUGGGAAUACAGCUUGGCUGCUAUAGCCCAGCCCUGGACCUCUUCUGAUUCUGGGUGCUGCCUGAUACCUGAAUCAUUCUGCCCUCAAAUUAACUCUGUUGAGUUUAUUUUGUCUAAAGUAUGUUGCUGUUGUUGUUAAUACCUUAUCUGUAAACUGGAAACAACUACACGAACUUCACCCAGUCCACAAGAAUUAAAUGAAAAAUCACAACUGAAUCACUUAGCAAAGUACCCAGCAGAGAGUUAAUGCUCACAAAUACUGUUAGUACAAAUCUUUGUUCUGUAUAACGGCCCAGCAUGCCAUACCGGGCUUUGUUCUGUAUAACUGCCCAGGAUGCCAUACCGGGCUCAACAGUUUGGGGGGUGCUUAUUCCACAGUCCUCUCUGCUGGAUCCAAGUUCUAAGGUUCUCUGGUUGCCCUCUCCUGCCCCAGGUUCUCACCACCCAAGCUCCCUUGGGCCCAAGUUGAACCAACUUCCUGCUCCUUGCAGCCCAAGUCCCCUUACCCACUGACACCCCCGCCCCCAGCCCCGGCACCAGGCAGGGAAGGAAGGACCCAGCUCCUGUGCAGUCGCCCCGCUUGCUUGCUGUGGCCUUGAGCAGUGCUCUGGAAGUCUCUUCUUCACCUCCUCAUGGAGAGCGGGGCAGGUUGCACAUACGCGCACUCCCAACACUCCGGGAGGCUGAGGCCGGAGGAUCGAAGCCAAGUCCCCUUCUUGUGAAUCUGCCCCAUCCCAGGAGUAGAAAUGAGUCUCUCCAGCAGCAGCUGUUCCAUACCUGAGCAUCAUUCCCUUCCCUUCGAGGAUCCCCCAGGAUGGUGCCUGUGGGGGUCUCCUCCGCCCCUUCCCUCAUGCUGACCUGAGGCCAUUCCCCCAGCACCACCUUCUCUCUGGCUUCUCUCUACACAGCCAACCCCUGGCCGCCCUCGGGCACCCCGUGGGUGUCACUUUGUCCAGGACAGCUCUCGGUGCCAUGGCAGCACUGCACUGGCACCAGGGGCUGGGCUGGGAGUCGGGUGCAGAGGGGAGAGAGGAGGUCCCGGAUCUGCCAGAGCACAGUGCAGAAGCCAAGGUGACAGAGGAAGAGGAGCCCCAGUGCCCAGGACGGGAUCCGUGCAGGCUCGAGGUGAACACGCAACAGGCCACUCAGCAUCUCCCACGUUUCUUUGCAGUGGGAAUUCGGGCUUGACAGCACCGGCCCAGACUUCCUGGUUUAGAGAUCAGUCAGUUCCGGCAGCGACAGGGCUCCAGGUGCCUGUUUCCCUAAAGUGCUCCAAAUGGAUGAGACGUGUGGGACUCUGCGUGAAGGGGCAGGAAAGGGCUGUUUACAUCCACACCUGCUCGGCCCACCUGCCCUACAGACUCACGCUAUCAAAUGUUUUCUAGUUGCUAUGACAAUCAAAUCACAGAGCCAGUAUUUGUUAUUGUUCCAGAGGGAAAAAAAGGAAGGACGGUACUGUGAGGCCCAAGUUCAUGUGUCAGUGGGCAGCUGAGUCACCCUGCCAUGGUCUGCCGAGUCCCAGAGCCAUUUUCCUAGGGUCUGAGACUCACACCUGCCACCCCUCUUCCCCAAGAGGAUGGUCCCCUGUCCGAGUCUUUCAACAAGCCCAGGUGGCAGACACCCCGGCCUGAGGACCACCAGCAGCCUGCAGGUGGGCAGCGAAGUCACCCAUGAGGACUCUGCCCUGCCCCAUGGAGUGGCAACUACCAGGCACUGCUGAGACCUCUUUCCUGAGUAUCUUUAGUUACACUGCUGCAACUGCCUCCAGGUCCUGAAUCCAUUCAAAACAUUUACCUUCCACGGUCAUUUUGACCUUGGGGAAAGACAGACUUUGCAGGGUGCCAGAUGCAGUGGCUAAGUGAGGGGAGGCACACCCUAAUUGCCUUUCUGUCGGAGGGCACUCAUCAGCAGUUUUCACAUCUCAUGAAGACGCUUAGGAAAGAGGACUCUAGAACUGCUCCAGAAAGUGGCCAGAACAGUGGGCUGAGUGUGUUCAAGGGGAAUUAAUGGCAGUGUAUCUUUUCCCAUGAUACAUUUUUGAAAUUGAAACCUCCACCAUGUACCUUGAUCACCUUGUAUUUCAUAGAUGGUUUCUAGAGUUGCCUAGCACUCGGCUGGCUCUGCGAGGGCCAAGCCACUUGAGUUCUCCAAGCCUCUGCCUCCUUGUGCACAACAGAGGGGAAGUAACACCACCUCAACAGAUUGCUCUGGGGAAGAAAGGCAAAAGCGCCAAUCAAGUGUUUACAUGCUGACUUGCUGUUGGAGGAGGGGCCUGGACAGAAGAGGCGGCUCCCUGUGUGUGCCCAGGAAAGGUUCUACCUCCCUCCGGCUCCUUGCUCAACACCCUCUGCUUCCUGGAUACCUUGAUUCGAGCAGCUGUUCCCCUGCCAGGGCCCUCUUCCAUGCUGUCCUGCCUUGGAGCCAACGGACUACAGACUGAAACCUCUACAAACAUAAGCCAAAAUAAACCUCUGCUCCCACUAGUUGUAGGUGUUGGAUAUGAGAAAGUACUGAAGACACUAGCACGGUGCAAAGCACUCAGUACAUCAAUACAUGCCCACUGAGGUGGUGGCUGAUUGGCGGGACCCUGGGCAAAGGCCUCUGGACGGCUGGAAGGUGAGGCAGAGGGAGCUCCUGCUCCCCCAGAUACACACGGGGCAGGCAGGGGAGGCUGUGCCAAACGCAGCUGUCCCGGGCUUAGUCUGCUUUCUGUUGCUAUCACAAAAUACCUGAGACCAGGUAAUUUAUAAAGAAUGGAAGUUUAUUUGGCUCACAGUUCUGGAGGCUGGAAAGUCCAGAAGCACAGCACUAGGGUCUCCCCAGAGUCCAGUGAGGGCCUCUUACUGCAUACAACACGUGGUGAGGCAGAGCAGCCUCGAGUGGCGUUUCUCUUCCUCUUCUUACAAAGCCACUCAUGCACUGUGGGCUCCUUCUUCUCCUGGUGGCAGCUAAUAUAAUCCUCCAAACACCUUAACAUAUGGAUUUGAGGACUAAGUUUCCAACACACGAGCUCAGCCAUGGUGACCCCCUUCCACCUCCACAAACUUGACCUGAGAGGCUUCCAUGGCUCAGACCCGGAAGGGAAGCAGACAAGAGAUCCAGCAGUGAGCAGGGCGGGAGGACAAGGAGAGGCUUUGAGGCCCUCUGGGAGGAUCCUGAAGCGGUGCCUAGGACACCCAGGUGUGGGGCAGGUGCCUCGGGCUCCUAGUUACCCCUCACACCAGGGCUGUGCCAGGGGCACCUUCUGAGGACAGCUGGCUUUCUGGGUCGACUUCCCUGGAGAAAGGGUGUGGAUGGGCGUGGCUCGGGCCGAGGGGCUAAGCCAGAUCGCUGGGGUUUAUGCCCAGGGUGUGGUGUGAGCCAUUCAUGACUGGGAGGCUUCUAACCAUUUCUAGACCUACACGUGGAAAGCCAGCCCCGGGAAAGGCCUGACCGCCAUGGG
ensembl:lncRNA